CUUCGGUUGGGUUUGUGUGUAAACGAACCCGGCCGACGGGUGAGGGGUCAGUUACCCUUCGGUUGGGUUUGUGUGUAAACGAACCCGGCCGACGGGUGAGGGGUCAGUUACCCUUCGGUUGGGUUUGUGUGUAAACGAACCCGGCCGACGGGUGAGGGGUCAGUUACCCUUCGGUUGGGUUCGUGUGUAAACGAACCCGGCUGACGGGUGAGGGGUCAGUUACCCUUCGGUUGGGUUCGUGUGUAAACGAACCCGGCCGACGGGUAAAGAUGUGAAAACUAACAAACCAACCAAACUUGGAUUCUCCAGUCAAAUGCGUUUAUUGAAUCAAUUAUAAAAUUUACUAAGAAGGGAAAGAUAAAAACUGCCAAGACCAACAACUUAUGGGUGAAAAAGUCCUCAAGUGACCCACCUACUCCCCGACUGCUCCUGACAAUGACUGACGGAAAAGGCCUUCAUCAUCCUCCACCGCUGAUGGAUGACCUCAGUGACCCUGCCAUCGAGCUCAGAAGGCUUCCUCAAGAAACGCUUCAGGAAACCUCCUGGAUCAUCUGGGUUUUCAUGUUGGAUUUCGGCCUUCAUCUGACCUUCUCGACCCCUGCUGAUGGAUGAUCUCAAUUACCCUACCAAUCGGUUGUCUUCCUCAAGAAAUGCUUCAGGAAUCGUUCGUCUGGAUCAUCUUGUUUUUGUCUAGGAUUUUGCCCUUCAUCACCCCCCAUCGACCGACGGAGGAAAAUGGCUGAAGUUAAAACAUUUAUCAAAAUGACUUCAGUUUGUUUUUGGGGGGUUUUUUUGGACA